CUCUAGUUCAUCCGCAAUUCAACAAUGUUUACGUCGGAAGGAUCGUCAUGCAGUCGACGCCGGGAUCUGACAUGAAGGAGCGUUUGCCGACUACGCCUAGAAAGGGAUGUCAAGAUUUCGUGAACCAGAGGCAUCUCUACACCGCAUAGGAACCUAAGACAUUUCUGCAGCCGGAACAGCACGGCAAAGCAUCUGAUCUGCAUGCUGCGACAAGGUAUGGCUGGGCCUGGAGAUGAAGUGUAAGCAGACCAUGCUAUGCUGCGGAUUGGUGCCAAUCUUCACAUCCGAGUUGUUCCCAGACAGUCAAGCACCACUGUGAUUUG